CCUGAUUCAGCGGCGGACGGGUGAGUAAUGCCUAGGAAUCUGCCUAUUAGUGGGGGACAACGUUUCGAAAGGAACGCUAAUACCGCAUACGUCCUACGGGAGAAAGCAGGGGACCUUCGGGCCUUGCGCUAAUAGAUGAGCCUAGGUCGGAUUAGCUAGUUGGUGAGGUAAUGGCUCACCAAGGCGACGAUCCGUAACUGGUCUGAGAGGAUGAUCAGUCACACUGGAACUGAGACACGGUCCAGACUCCUACGGGAGGCAGCAGUGGGGAAUAUUGGACAAUGGGCGAAAGCCUGAUCCAGCCAUGCCGCGUGUGUGAAGAAGGUCUUCGGAUUGUAAAGCACUUUAAGUUGGGAGGAAGGGCAGUAAGUUAAUACCUUGCUGUUUUGACGUUACCGACAGAAUAAGCACCGGCUAACUCUGUGCCAGCAGCCGCGGUAAUACAGAGGGUGCAAGCGUUAAUCGGAAUUACUGGGCGUAAAGCGCGCGUAGGUGGUUUGUUAAGUUGGAUGUGAAAGCCCCGGGCUCAACCUGGGAACUGCAUCCAAAACUGGCAAGCUAGAGUACGGUAGAGGGUGGUGGAAUUUCCUGUGUAGCGGUGAAAUGCGUA
rnacentral:rRNA from 1 species